GAAGCACACAAGUUUUGGGACCAGAAAAUUGGAAUCGAUCUGCAUUCAGUUCCGUGGCAGUUGUGCAAACGCAUGAUAGCUAUAUACUAUCGAAAUAACAUGCAAAAGAAUCUUGUGAAGCUCUUCAAGGACUUGGAAGCUUUUGAUCGAAAGCCUCCAGAGAAAUCAAUAGUGCAGAAAGUGGCAAAUGCAUACGAGAUUUUGGGCUUACUAGAAGAAAAAGAGAGGGUGCUGCAGAAGUACAAUCAUCUUUUCACUGAAGAUGCAUCCCUCAGGAAACGUAGGAAAGCCCCACCUAUGAAAAAGAAGAAAUAAGGUAAGGCCUUGUAGACCAUGUUUGAGGCGAUCAUCCCUUCCUGCAGCGACGACAAUUUACAGCAAUUGGAAAUUAUCAAUGUUUGCAACGACGCAAGAUCGGAUAGCCACCCUGAUAAUGCGGAGAAAUUGAGACAAUGUCCAAUCCUAAUGUGUUGUAAAAGUGCCGGCAAAUAUUUUCCCUUCUGGCAAAGACUCCAACUGUGGUAUCUAUAAAAAAAAAAAACAAUGUUUGGAGGUUCAUGCUUAAGCCGUCUUUCUUGUCAUUCCCUUGAGUCGAAUCAGGUUGUCAAAAUUGUCAAUCUGCAGUCUCCUAUGGUGGAGAGACCAAUUUUCCACCGCCUGUAAAGAAACCAAAACAAAGAUUUUAAGUUGCCGCAUUUUUCGGAACUUAAAGAUGGAAGAGAAGUGAAGAACCCUAUUCAAUUUGCUAGUAGACAGUUGUUUUGUGGUAACUACUAAACAUCUUCUGCUGAUAAUUUUUCUUGUUUGGCUUGGCAGGUCUUCUAGUGCUUCACAUUCUCAACACCUAAAAGUUGCAGAUUUUGCUGCUCGCAGUGGAACUAGCGAGUUUCUUACUUCUUGAGAAUCCGAGACAAGUGUAAGAAUUUUAAAUGCUUCAUGGUAUUGAGACUCCGAGACAAGUGUAAGAAUUUUAAAUGCUUCAUGGUAUUACUUCAAAACAUGAGUUACUUUACAGGCCAA